ensembl:lncRNA
CGCUGGAAUCUGACUUGCCCCGUCAUUUUCAGUAAGUUUCAGAAAGUCCGGAAGCACGAGUCGCCUUCACUGGCACCAGGGGUAGGGAAACCACACACUUAUUUCCCCCCGAGUCAUAUUAUUAUCUCCCAAGAAUCCAGCACUCUAGGGAAGGAAAACAGGUAUUUAAACUUCCGAGAGGUAGCAAUUCUUGGGAAAGAAGGGGAGAGAGAAGAAGGAAAAUCUUUCAAGCAGGAUGCGGGUGGGGGGCAGUAAGAAGCUGGGAACGAUCACCGAUCACCGUGCUAAGAGGUUUGCAGAGCUGGAGAGCAUCCACCACCCGUGGGACAGACGCCAAGAAUCACAUCACUCAGGACUGGCCUUCAAUGACAUUCCAUUGCAACAUUAGGCAAAUACCUCUUAAGCACCCAAUAUCUCCCAGUGUUGCCUAGGGAGAAAUUCAAUGCCUUUUUCAAAGACUCUGAUCAAACAGUAGUCAUGUAUGGAUGUGAGAGUUGGACCAUAAAGAAGGCUGAUCACUGAAGAACUGAUGCUUUUGAACUGUGGUGUUGGAGAAGACUCUUUUGAGAGUCCCUUGGACUGCAAGGACAUUAAACCAGGUAAUCCUAAAGGAAAUCAACCUUGCAUAUUCACUGGGAGGACUGAUAGAAGCUGAAUCUCCAAUACUUUGGUCACCUGAUGGAUAGAGCUGACUCACUGGAAAAGAUCCUGAUGGUGGGAAAGAUUGAGGGCAGGAGAAGAAGG